rnacentral:rRNA from 1 species
UGGGGAAUAUUGGACAAUGGGCGCAAGCCUGAUCCAGCCAUGCCGCGUGAGUGAUGAAGGCCCUAGGGUUGCAAAGCUCUUUCACCGGUGAAGAUAAUGACGGUAACCGGAGAAGAAGCCCCGGCUAACUUCGUGCCAGCAGCCGCGGUAAUACGAAGGGGGCUAGCGUUGUUCGGAUUUACUGGGCGUAAAGCGCACGUAGGCGGACUAUUAAGUCAGGGGUGAAAUCCCGGGGCUCAACCCCGGAACUGCCUUUGAUACUGGUAGUCUUGAGUUCGAGAGAGGUGAGGGGAAUUCCGAGUGUAGAGGUGAAAUUCGUAGAUAUUCGGAGGAACACCAGUGGCGAAGGCGGCUAACUGGCUCGAUACUGACGCUGAGGUGCGAAAGAGUGGGGAGCAAACAGG